AGUGAACGCUGGCGGUAGGCCUAACACAUGCAAGUCGAACGGCAGCACAGUAAGAGCUUGCUCCUACGGGUGGCGAGUGGCGGACGGGUGAGGAAUACAUCGGAAUCUACUUUUUCGUGGGGGAUAACGUAGGGAAACUUACGCUAAUACCGCAUACGACCUACGGGUGAAAGCAGGGGAUCCUCGGACCUUGCGCGAUUGAAUGAGCCGAUGUCGGAUUAGCUAGUUGGCGGGGUAAAGGCCCACCAAGGCGACGAUCCGUAGCUGGUCUGAGAGGAUGAUCAGCCACACUGGAACUGAGACACGGUCCAGACUCCUACGGGAGGCAGCAGUGGGGAAUAUUGGACAAUGGGCGCAAGCCUGAUCCAGCCAUACCGCGUGGGUGAAGAAGGCCUUCGGGUUGUAAAGCCCUUUUGUUGGGAAAGAAAAGCAGCAGGUUAAUACCCCGCUGUUCUGACGGUACCCAAAGAAUAAGCACCGGCUAACUUCGUG
rnacentral:rRNA from 1 species